rnacentral:rRNA from 1 species
GACGAACGCUGGCGGCGUGCCUAAUACAUGCAAGUCGAGCGCAGGAAAUCGACGGAACCCUUCGGGGGGAAGUCGACGGAAUGAGCGGCAGACGGGUGAGUAACACGUAAAGAACCUGCCCUCAGGUCUGGGAUAACCACGAGAAAUCGGGGCUAAUACCGGAUGUCUCAUCGGACCGCAUGGUCCGAGGAUGAAAGGCGGUUCGGCGUCGCCUGGGGGAGGCUUUGCGGGGCAUUAGCUAGUUGGUGGGGUAAUGGCCCAACAAGGCGACGAUGCAUAGCCGACCUGAGAGGGUGAUCGGCCACACUGGGACUGAGACACGGCCCAGACUCCUACGGGAGGCAGCAGUAGGGAAUCUUCCACAAUGGACGAAAGUCUGAUGGAGCAACGCCGCGUGAACGAUGAAGGCCUUCGGGUCGUAAAGUUCUGUUGUAAGGGAAGAACAAGUGCCGCAGGCAAUGGCGGCACCUUGACGGUACCUUGCGAGAAAGCCACGGCUAACUACGUGCCAGCAGCCGCGGUAAAAC